UACGAGUGCCCCAAGCGUUAUCCGGAAUUAUUGGGCGUAAAGAGCUCGUAGGCGGUCUGUCGCGUCUGCUGUGAAAACUCAGGGCUUAACCCUGAGCUUGCAGUGGGUACGGGCAGACUAGAGUGCGGUAGGGGAGACUGGAAUUCCUGGUGUAGCGGUGAAAUGCGCAGAUAUCAGGAGGAACACCGGUGGCGAAGGCGGGUCUCUGGGCCGUAACUGACGCUGAGGAGCGAAAGCAUGGGGAGCGAACAGG
rnacentral:rRNA from 1 species